rnacentral:ncRNA from 1 species
UUUCCCUCAGGAUAGCAGCAACACGGAUUUAGUAAGCGAAUGAUUAAUGGGUUUGGGGCUGAAGAACAUUAGCCUAUUUUCAAACUUAAAUGUGUAAGAAACCGGUGUUGCUUAAUCCAACGUAGGCAUCGUACUGAUGCU